AGUAGCUAGUUAUCUAUGCCUCAACGAGUUGUAAAUUAAACAUUAACUUGAAUUCAUGUUUUUUUUGCCGUUAUAUAUAUAUAUAUAUAUCUUAUAGCUUAAUUGAGCAUGCAGUAUUACAUUUCGAAAUGUUAUAAUAUGUAUAUGCAUCAAGGGACAGAUAGCAAAAAAGCAUAUAAAAUACUAUAUAGUAGACGUUGAAGGGUAAUAAAAAAUGAAUGAAGUAGGGGAAAUGAAGGAGAGAACGUGAAGGUGGGCAGUCUUGCGCCCUCUGAUAGAUUCUCUAUCUCCUGUUUGAUUCUCAUGGUGCUUUUAUUCAAAUGUCUCUUUGCUCUUUAUAUAUCUUUUUCUAUCUAUUAUUACGGAUGUCUCUGCAUGAUAUAUUGGGACAUAGUGUCACGACAAGUGGCCUAACUCCUAAAUAAAGAAGGGCGACAUGAAAGGAGGUAUUAGUUAGGAAAAGAUACCGAGUUUAGUAUGUCGAAUAGACUUAACAUGUUAUAGUUUUCACUUUUCAUAGAAAAGUAAAUACCAAAAUCCAAAAUUAAUAGUCCAGUAUAAGACCCUAUAAACCUAGCUAAUCUACAUCUUACUGGUCCUGUGAGAUUGAUUUAAAUUAUAUACGUUACGAAUUUAUGAUAUGGAUGAGAAGGGCUUGUAUCCUAGUGGUCUCCCUUCUCACAGACGACUGCCAGAGGUCGCAGGUUCGACUCUCUGUCGGCGCGGUGGUACUAUGACUCUCCAAAAAAAUCCUAAGGGAUUUUCCUGGAUUUGGGGCACCGCUUGCGGUGGAGUCUAGUCACUAUAAAAUGUUUACCCAAAACAGUUUUGAGAAGGGCUUGUAUCCUAGUGGUCUCCCUUCUCACAGACGACUGCCAGAGGUCGCAGGUUCGACUCUCUGUCGGCGCGGUGGUACUAUGACUCUCCAAAAAAAUCCUAAGGGAUUUUCCUGGAUUUGGGGCACCGCUUGCGGUGGGGUCUAGUCACUAUAAAAAGUUUACCCAAAACAGUUUAAACCAAGCGCUCGUAGCUUGGUGGUAAAGGAGGUACAGCUGUACUGCCCGCCACCCGGGUUCGAGUCUUGGCCACAACGGAUUUAACAUCCCUUCCGUUGGGGCGCUGGACCCCUUUCGAGGGGAUAGUUGGGAAUGUGGCUGCCCAGAUACCAGAGUUAUCAAAAAAAAAAAAAUUUAUGAUAUGGCCGGAGACACUACCCACUCUAUGAACUUGGACAAUGCACGUCCUUAUCCAAAUUCGGCAACAAUUGACAAACUAUAUGAUGGAUAUAUCAAAUACAAAAGAGUAGUAAUAAACUUCACGGCAUUAAAUCAGUUUGGUUGUAGCCCCUCUCGUUUGACCCAUACUACAUCCUUUUUUUAUUAGACAAUGGAUUGUACAAAAAAAAGGAUUGUACACAUAAAUAAAAAAGUUAUAAUUAAAUAAUAUUUAUAUUUUAUAUUUUCAAAACAAAACAAAACUAUCAUUGAUUGUCUAACUAACCAUAAUUCAACUAAUGAAAAUAUCUACAUGACUACAUGAUAUAAAAGUCGUAUAAUAUAAAUAUUAUUAAACCUUACAUUGAAAAUCUUUUUUAACUUGGAAAAUGUUUCUCUCAAAUGUAAAGUACUAGAAAAACGGAAAGAAGAUUAUAUACGAUUAAUUCUGUUAUGAGCAUGGAAAAUCUAUUUACAAAUUAGAUAUCGAUGAAACAGAGAGAGAAAUCUCUCUCGAACUCUCUUCCCUUUUUACCAAUUAAAAAUCUUUCAGAAGGGUUAAAGAUCUUUUUGAGAGUGAGAGAGAUAGUCUUUUUUGUUCUCCGGUUUCGAUUCAUCCGACCGGCAUCCGACUCCGGCGAAGUUCCAUAUCCUCGGAGAUUUUCGUCCGGCUUUUGACUCUGGCGACGUUGACUUGUUCCUCGGUGACGUCGGCCGGCUUCUUCUCCGGUCUUUUCCGGAGUUUUUAUGUUCUUUUUGUCCUCGCCUCUAUUAGUUUUUCUAAAGUCUCAUCCCUCUUUUGAUCUUGGAUCCCGUUGCUUCAUCCUCCCCGUUUAGGGUUUAAUCAUCUUCAAGCUUCUUCUUAUCAUUAAAAAUGACUGUUUUUUUUAAAAGCAGGAUAAUGGGAUCUUGGAGAUCAAUUGGUUGUGGUUGUUUCUACUCUCGUAGGUGAGGUUCCGUGUUAUGGCGUUGAAGAUUGGUCCUUUUGGGUUGGCUGCUCUAUUGAGUGGUUCUUCCAUCAGUUUGAUUGACUUCCGGCGGCUUGUCGGAGUUCAGUCGAGAGACCUCUCCGUCGGUGAAGAUUGAUGAUGGGUUCUCCGUAAAGCAACACGUGUUUCCGACUGUUCGAGUCUUGACGCGUGGAUCGUGAGCGGUUCAUCUCUUUCUUUCUAUCUUGGUUUGCCCUUCUUGGGCCUUUAUGUUAUUUUUCUGUUGUUGUUUUCUUUGGGUCUUGUUGGGUCUGGUUUGUAUAGACUUUUGGUUAAUAAAACUUCAGUUGACAAAAAAAAAAGCAUGGAAAAUCUAUAUCUUUAUAUAUAUACACGUUGGCAUUUAGUGAAUAUGAAUGAAACAAGGGGACACAUAUAUUGGCUGCAGAAAAACGAGAGGGCAGCUUGAGCUGGGUUCUUAGCUGUCGCUACAGUGAACUAAUUGCCACAUCAAAUAGUAACCAUUUAUUGCUUUAACUAAAUUGCACAGUGUGAGGAAUGGGAAGCAGCAAAAAUACAAAAACAAAGAAGAAAUAAGCGACAAAAAUGUACAAGUGAUUGCAAUGGGAAUGAAGAUGUAUUACUGUUAAAGUCAAAAUCGGAACUAUGUGUCGAUGUGUAAGAAGCAGCAACACUUUGUUAUGUCUUUUGUCUUCUUCUCAUAUCUCUAGCUGUACAUCUUACAUACUUUCUUGUCUUGUUUUUCAUCUCCUCUACCAUUUCUUGUCGACACAAUCUAAAUUAACAACAAGAAACUAAAAAGACUUGUUUAGUCGACAUGAAUCAUGGUUGAUGGAAGGUUACGAGCACUUCGUGCUAAUUUUAUAGUUUAUGUGUAUUAAUGUCGGUUAAUUAUGUCAAUAACUGAAAGUAGGGAAAACUCAUUAUAGUGAUGAAAUGCGUCCCAAGUGUGUCGAGAAUGCAAGUCCCUCUAGAGGCAUAGACACUAUUUGCACCCAGUCAGAACAAUCUCUAACACUUCAUCGAGGCGUUGAACAACUUUUAUAUACUCUAUUGCCCAAAUCAAAAUCUCACAUUUUAUAUGUAAAACAAUAUUUUUUUCGGCUCUUCAUUGUUCCCAUCAUUGGUUCUUCAUAUUUUUUUCACUACAAUACCAACCCUGUCCUGAGAAGAUAUCUAGAUCUUUCCAGUCGCCAUCCACUUGACACAGCCUAUAGCAUUGGUUUGCAUUCAUUAAAGUUGCAGACUCUAAGUUGGCAUCAUUCUUGUUAAAUCUUCUCUACCAUUUAUUCCUCUAAUUACCUGCUUAUUAAUUACACAUCCUUACAUGGGCCUUCUUAGGCCCGUUUAAAAUAUUAGGGCCUUGUCCAAUUUUAAGCUAGGGGAAGUAGAAACCCUAGCUAUAUAUAGUAGAGAGACGAGUGAAACUCAGCUGAACAUCCGAGCUCGGCGAUUUCACGAUGAGAGCCAAGUGGAAGAAGAAGCGCAUGAGGAGAUUGAAGAGGAAGCGCAGAAAGAUGAGACAGAGAUCUAAGUAGUCUUUGUCUUGCUCUAUCUUCUAAUCUCUGGUGGUUGCUUUCUAGUUUCUUGAACCGUUUAUGUUUUGUGUUUUUUACAUUCAAGUUUUGAACAAUCAUGUGUAGAACAUGUUAUUUGCUUACUCCCUUUUAUUAUCUACAAAGCAGAGGUUUAAUAUUA